ensembl:lncRNA
UUAAGUCAUUGCUAAUUUUUUGACAUUACAUAGAAAGUGGCAUUGAAUGUCUUUGUGCAUGUCUCCUCUAGUUCACAUAUGAAAGUUUUCCACCAUAUAUACCUGGAUGUGUAAUUGCUGGGUGAUGGAACGCAUGUCUUCAACCAUGGGAGUGUGCCUGGUUGUGAUGCAUGGUACUGUGGUACCCACGCUGUGCCCCCGAGGGAAGCCAGAAGGAGGACAGAGCUAAUCCAUGGAGAAUUGCUGAGUGCCUGAUGACAUUGCUGAGCAGCUGACCAUACCACCCCUGGAGUGAUCCUGUCUCUGGACUUUAUCAGAUGCAGCCUGGGUCCUCCUGCAAUGGAUGUGGUGCUGCCCCUGCCUGGAAGGUUCAAGCCAGGAUGGACACAUAUCACCUAGCCCGGAGAUGACCAAAUGUGUCUCAGCUGGACUCGUUCUGCAAAUGAAAUCUUAGGGAUGAAGCCCAGUGUGUAACUGAGAAGACUGGAGCUGCUAUGGGCCUGAUCCUCUCCCAUAGAAUGCUGGAGCUCUGAGAGCAGAGUUUGAAAACCACAGAUCUCAUGCCAAAUCCUCAUUUUACAGAGAAGGAAUCUGAGGCCCAAAGCAGGAAGACCGAAGGCACACCAGCAGGGCCAGAGAAAAGCUGUCACACAAAUGGGUUCAGCUUAUCUCAAUCCACACCCAUAAAUAUUUACUGCACCUGCUCGUCCUUCUGCACUAGCACAAAGUCCUGCUUGGGGCAGUGGGUGGCAGAGCCCACGGGACCUCGGUGCUAGUCUGUUGGUGAUGAAGAGGUUUUGAAGGUGAUCCUGGCUGUGCGGGCCUCUCCUGUGCUCAACGCCACCUCUGAGAGAAGGCAGUGGGAUUGGCAGUGGGGAGCUCCCAUUUUUGAACUCUGCUGCUGGAGCCUUAAGGAGGAGACAGGCCACACCUGGAGGCCUGGGCUGAGGAUAGAGUGGCUCCCAAGGAAACAAGAUGGGGGCCAGAUGGUUCCCGAUUCUAAAUCCUCCAGCCUCUGUGGUUUAGCCCUUUCAUGGUCCCCCUACCCUGUUGACCAAGGGAGUCCUUGGUGAGCUGCGUGUAGGGCAGGGUGAGAGAUCAGUGUCCUAGAAGGGAUGGUUAUGACUCAGUAGGCCCCUAGGAGUGUCCCUUGGGCACACCAUCUCCCUGGCUAGACUCAUGUCUGGGCUGGGAGUUGUCCCCUUGCCAAUGGACCCCCUGAACCUCCAUUUCUCUGGCCCCAAGGAAUGUGCUGGGUCCCAGGCCUUGUGACACCUCCGAAGGACAAGGGGCUAGUUCUCUGUUCCAGCCCCAAGAACGGCAUGGGGAGCACUGGCUUUUGUUGCAGGGGGUGGGGGUGCUCACCAGCCCAUUAGGCAGGCUAAGUGUUGUCUGCCUCCUCCACCUCUCCAUCCCCACUAGAAGCCACCAAGGAGGCUUGUUAAUUAUCUCAAUGAUUUCCACGUCGAUGGGCAGGUCUCGUUGGCCAGAAUCAAGGCUUGGGGCACUCCCCCAAUCCCAUUUACACACAGACUGAGGAGGGGGAGGGGGAGGAAUGCUAGAAACAGAAAUGAGGGAGAGAUGGCCAGGGGUGGGCAAGGGUCCCAAAGAGGAUGGGGAUGUCUACUGGCAUCUGAGGUGAGCUGGGCACGGGCCUGCAGGACGGAGUAGACUGCUAGCGGCUAGCUGCAGGCAAUGUCCUCAUCAUUAGGGGACUGAUGGAGAUAAACUGGUAUGUCUGUUGGUUUUAUAGAUUCUUCAUAGCCCUGUGCUCUGGGCCUUCUUCAGGGAGUGCCUGGCUGGAGGGGGCAGACCAGGUAAAAGGUGGGACUGCAUUGGGGUCUGGGCUGGGAGAGGGAGUAGAGAGCAAGCUGGGGUCCCAAGGCCUCACCUGACUGUGUGGAGUGGUUCAGGGAAAGGGGCUGAGGGCUGGGGACGGAUUCCUAAGGACCAUGCCACCUUGGCUAGGACAAGCUAGCAUGCAGCCAGCAAAAGGCAGAGGAAGUUGAGAAGGGAAGGAAAAGUCUCUCUUCAACACCACAGAAAGGAGAGGGAGUGGGAGAUGACACCCAGCUCAGGGGUCCUAUUUCCAGACACGUGCUUCUCGAUGGCACCUCAGUGCGUGGCUCCUGGAGACUCCACAUGGAGGGAAUCAGGAAGCUGGAGACCCAGCUCCCUAGGUUGGGCUAGGCAGGCUCUGGGCUAACAGCCACCUGAGGAGGGGCUCCCCCCCUAGCCACUGUGUCCUAGCGGCCUGGGGUCAACAAAGGGAGCUCAUUCUAAGCAUGCAGCCCUUGCUCCCAGGACUUGCAGUGGGCUGCUGUGUUUUGGCCAGGCCCGGGCUAGGGAGAUCCCUACAGUUCUGGAACAUGGUCCUUAUCCUGCCUCUGCCCCUUUGCUCCCCCAUCCAACGCCCUCCACCCAUCCCAAUCUACCACCCUUCAGGCUUGGUGUGAAUUCCCCUCCUCCCUCCAGUCUGUGCUGCAUGCUCUCUCACAUGUCCCAUGGGGUGGGAAGACAUGAAGUGGAUCUUGAAGGAUGCUAAAUUUGAUUUGGCUGUGAGAGGGAUGGCUGUUCUGUCUUUGGCUCUCUUUUCUCACCCAUCUCGAUCUCCCUGCUUCACCCUCUCCCCGGACAACACUGAUGUCCACGUUCAGACAACUCCAGGGCUCCAGCCCAGCACCUUCCCCUCCAGACCCACAUCUCUAAUGUCCAACCAGAUGCAUCAUCGUCUCCCCACGGAUUCCUGUCCACCCCCC